UACGUAGGGCGCAAGCGUUAUCCGGAAUUAUUGGGCGUAAAGAGCUCGUAGGCGGUUUGUCGCGUCUGCCGUGAAAAGUCCCGGGGGCUCAACUCCGGAUCUGCGGUGGGUACGGGCAGACUAGAGUGAUGUAGGGGAGACUGGAAUUCCUGGUGUAGCGGUGAAAUGCGCAGAUAUCAGGAGGAACACCGAUGGCGAAGGCAGGUCUCUGGGCAUUAACUGACGCUGAGGAGCGAAAGCAUGGGGAGCGAACAGG
rnacentral:rRNA from 1 species